rnacentral:rRNA from 1 species
AUUGAACGCUGACGGAAUGCUUUACACAUGCAAGUCGAACGGCAGCACGGGGCAACCUGGUGGCGAGUGGCGAACGGGUGAGUAAUACAUCGGAACGUGCCCAAUCGUGGGGGAUAACGUAGCGAAAGUUACGCUAAUACCGCAUACGAUCUACGGAUGAAAGCGGGGGAUCGCAAGACCUCGCGCGAAUGGAGCGGCCGAUGUCAGAGUAGGUAGUUGGUGGGGUAAAGGCUCACCAAGGCAGCGAUCUGUAGCUGGUCUGAGAGGACGAGCAGCCACACUGGUACUGAGACACGGCCCAGACUCCUACGGGAGGCAGCAGUGGGGAAUGUUGGACAAUGGGCGCAAGCCUGAUCCAGCCAUUCCGCGUGCAGGAUGAAGGCCUUCGGGUUGUAAACUGCUUUUGUACGGAACGAAACGGUUCUCUCUAAUACAGGGGGCUAAUGACGGUACCGUAAGAAUAAGCACCGGCUAGCUUCGUGCCAGCAGCCGCGGUAAUAC